CCAAAAAAUAAGCAAAUAAAAAAAAAUAAAUUAGGGGGAAGGAGGGAAAAACCUACAGCAAUGACUGGUUAACAAGCACCAAGUAUAUAUUUCCUCAUUAGGAUGCACCGAAUUAAGGAAACGUAACAAAGUCAAAAUCUUGCAUUUCUUGAUAGAAGAUACAAAAACAUAUUUAUCUAAUUAUCUUGAAGCCCACAUGACAUCUUCGAGCAUUAGCAGUCCCCAAUACAUAUCAGAUCACCACCUGUUCAUAUUCAGCAAGUAUCAAUUAGUCCAGCAGUUUUAGGCCUAAAAAUUUUAGUCAUUCAUCGAGGAGGUGGGGAAGCCAUAGGAGGAUUAUGAAGACAACAACCAACCAACUCAGGAAAAUAGACUAUAGCUAACCAAAGUAGAGGAACUCUCAUUUCUCUGCCGGAGGUUGGAUGGUUUGCUGCCCUCAAACUUGCAGAAAUUUCUUGCAGGGUAUACCUGAUAAGGAUUCAGAUACAGAAACAAAAGUUUUACCUCCCACAUAUAAGAAAACUACUUACAAUUUGACAGAUGACACAAGUUGCCAUCUCAAGGGCAAUUAACAGAAGCAGCAAUUUUAUUGACCAUAGGAAGGGAUGCAGUGUAACACAUACCAAGCUUGCUUAACUAAACUACACAAUGCAUCAGUUGUCCCUCAGUCUUCAAAAAAAAGCUCAACUCCAGUUCAAGAACAAUAGCCUUGAGUUUAAGUUCUGCAAAUACCAGCCUUAACAAAAACAAUAGGAUGCUAAAAUUUUAAUUAUUCUACUGACAAAUAUUCACAAAACCAAAAAGGUUCAAGCAAGGCUCUGUUUCUUGUCCUGAAAACCUACCAGAAGCCACCCCAAAUUCCAGUGAUUGUUCAUAAAUUUUAACAAAAACUUUCAGUUUUGCUACAAUGAGCAGAACAAGGAUACAGCUUUUUACAACGAGGGCAUGCCUAAACCUAAGCCAGAAUGAAUAAAAGAAAGGAAAAAAAAAAUAGAAAGAAACUUAUAUAAUAAAGAUUAUAAACGUACAUUCCAUGUUUAGAAUUUACCUCUAUGGCACAUCUCCAUUAGUUAUGGAUUGCGCUCAGUGCUUUUCUUUGCCCUUAGUAUUUUGGUAUGCUGCAAGUCGAGCUUGUGAAAGCUUAGUUUUCGCUUGUCGACGCUUCCUUUUAGCAGGCUUAGAUAGGUUGCCUGAUUUAACAUUUGAAUCCUCCAAUGCUGCUUUCCCAUCUUGAUGAGGACCCACAACUGAAAUUGAUUUUUUAUCACCAUCACCCUUUGAUCUAUUCUUUUUAUUGGUCCCCUGACGAUUCAAUCCGCCCCGGAGAAGCUCCCUAGUCCUCUUUUUAAAUUCGUGUCUCUUAUUAUUAGCCACCUUCCAUUGCCUCUCCCUAUAAGGAGCAAGCUUUUUAAUGGGUACAUAUUGAUUCAACUCCUUGUCAUCCAACAUCAAUAUUUCUUUCGUCUUUAAUCCAUACCUAUUAGGAUCCACUUUAGAAUACUUAAACCUUGUCUUCAAGUCUCCAAUUGUACCCUCAUAGUCCAAUUUAUAAUACUCCUCUAACAUUUCCUCCCUAGCUUUCUUCACCAGUGACAUCUUACGCUUCCUCUUCCGUUUACUUUCCUCAUUGUGCUCUACUUCAUUGCCUCCUCCUUCCUCUUCUCCAUCGCCUCUUUCUUCCUCUUCUUCAUUGUCAUCAUCAUCAUUUCCGUUCUCAGCCUUUAGUUUCAAAAACCUUUCUCUUGCAGCGAAAAACCCAUCAGCAUCUUCAACUGCAUCCCAGCCCUUAGGAAGUCCAAGUAACUCAUCCUCCUUAUCAAAAUCUGGUUUCUCGAUAGAAGCCCUGUCAUCAUCAUUAUCACUACCAAACCCGGGAUCCACAUCAUCUGCAUUAUAAUACUCCUCACCAAAAGCCUUCUUCAUCAUUUUAUCGUACUCUGCUGGAUCAAAAUCCUCUUCCAAAUUAUCCAAAUCCAAUGCAAAAUCAUUAUCGUUCUUAACCCCAGCAGUCUCCAUUACCUUCAUCAUCCUCUCUUUCAUUUCCUUCUUUUUCAAAUUCUUCAAAUGUUUCAACUCUUCCUUCCUCUCCAUCUCAGCAAUCUUCAUCCUCUCCUCCUUAUUCUUCCUCUGCUCUUUUCUCGCAUUCUCCUUCUUCCUCACCGACCCUUCCACUUUUCUUGAGUGUCCCAUCACCUUAUCCCCUGCAUUCUCUUCAUAUCUAAAAUUAUAACUCUCCUCAUACUUUUCCUGCCUUUCAAUCUCCUCCUCAUCUUUCAACAAGUCAUCCACUUCAGUAUCCUCCAAAACACUCCUCCUGUCCUUAUUUUCCCUAUCAAUCCACAUUUGUUUCUCAAAAAACUCUUUCAAAAACUUGUUAUCCUCAUCCAACUCCCCCUCUGGACCAAAAUACUCGCCCAACUCCUUCUCCAACUCUCCAUAAUCAUCAUCAGCAUCCUCAUCAUUUUCAUUUUUCUUCUCUUUUGGUUUCAAUAAAUCCCCUCCACCAUCCUCCUCUGCAUUUUUCACAGCAUCCAAAAAUUCUUUCUUUAAUUCCUCUUGUUCCUCAUUGUAAGUCUUCUUCCUAGUGAAUUCCACAUCUUUCUCUUCAAAUUCAGGCCCUUCCUCCAUCAGUUGCUGGGCCACCACAUCCUUCAAGUACAUAGCUUUCUUCUUCCGCUCCCUAUUUUCAUUUUCUUCAUCACUAUCGUUCUCAGACUCAAAAAGAAUGGCAUUCUGAUACACAGAAUCGUCUCUUUUCCUUACCUUGUUUAAAUUCUCGAAUAGCUUCUUGAGAUCUUCUUUUCUGCUCAGCUUAGAGAUAUCGGCAUCGUCUUCUUCGUCUGAUGAUUCCGAUUCCAAUUCUGAACCCGACUCUUCGAUUUGGCCUCUCUUCUUGAGCUCCUGGUAUCUCUGGAGGGCCUCGCGCUGCUUGUUGUGCUCAUAUCGACGGGCGAAUUCCUUGUCGAUUUCUAUCUUCGAAAUGUUGACGUUCUGGGCGUCUUCGUCGUCGAACAGUUUCAUCCCCAUCGCUAAAAAUUAGGGUUUUGUACAAUCCCUUUAGCUGGAUUGAAUGAUUUGCAAAGACAGAGACGUUAGUCUUUAGCACUUACCACAGAGGCGAUUAGGG
rnacentral:misc_RNA from 1 species